rnacentral:rRNA from 1 species
GGGCUUGACAUCCCACGAAUCUUGCCGAAAGGCAGGAGUGCCCGCAAGGGAGCGCGGAGACAGGUGGUGCAUGGCUGUCGUCAGCUCGUGUCGUGAGAUGUUGGGUUAAGUCCCGCAACGAGCGCAACCCUCACCCCUUGUUGCCAUCAGGUCAUGCUGGGGACUCUAGGGGAACUGCCCCGGUCAACGGGGAGGAAGGCGGGGAUGACGUCAAGUCAUCAUGCCCCUUACGUCCUGGGCUACACACGUGCUACAAUGGCCGGUACAAAGGGAUGCCACACCGCGAGGUAGAGCUAAACCCAAAAAGCCGGUCUAAGUUCAGAUUGGAGUCUGCAACUCGACUCCAUGAAGGAGGAAUCGCUAGUAAUCGCGUAUCAGCACGACGCGGUGAAUACGUUCCCGGGCCUUGUACACACCGCCCGUCACACCACGAAAGCCAGUUGUACUCGAAGUCGCUGAG